rnacentral:rRNA from 1 species
AUUGAACGCUGGCGGCAUGCCUUACACAUGCAAGUCGAACGGCAGCACGGGUGCUUGCACCUUGUGGCGAGUGGCGCACGGGUGAGUAAUACAUCGGAACAUGUCCUGUAGUGGGGUAUAGCCCCUCGAAAGCCGGAUUAAUACCGCAUACUAUCUACGGAUGAAAGCGGGGGCCCUUCGGGCCUCGCGCUAUAGGGUUGGCUGAUGGCUGAUUAGCUAGUUGGUGGGGUAAAGGCCUACCAAGGCGACGAUCAGUAGCUGGUCUGAGAGGACGACCAGCCACACUGGGACUGAGACACGGCCCAGACUCCUACGGGAGGCAGCAGUGGGGAAUGUUGGACAAUGGGCGAAAGCCUGAUCCAGCAAUGCCGCGUGUGUGAAGAAGGCCUUCGGGUUGUAAAGCACUUUUGUCCGGAAAGAAAUCCUUGGCCCUAAUACGGGCGGGGGAUGACGGUACCGGAAGAAUAAGCACCGGCUAACUACGUG